rnacentral:misc_RNA from 1 species
AAGACCCCCUGGGUUACGUUGUGUAAAGAAAUGUUUUGAUAUCUCUCUUUAAGUUGCUAACGAUGCCAGGAAAGAAUUCGAGGAUGCAGAAACUGCUUCACGGGACACAGAAAGAGAAAUCAGUGACCUUGAGAGAUUGCUGAACCUAAAUCUUGGUCAAGAGGAAGAGUUUUCUCCGCUUCAAGGACAAUGUUAUGAGUACACAGAUAGAGAGUAUUUGUACAAACUUUGUCCGUUUGACAAAGCUUCUCAGCAACCUAAGGAUGGAGGCUCAGAAACUUCACUAGGCACAUGGGGCGAAUGGACAGGAGAUCCAAACAAGUACAGUCGUAUGAAGUAUUCUGGAGGACAAGGCUGUUGGAACGGACCUAGCAGAUCCGCUGUGAUAAACCUUCGGUGUGGCUCAACGAACGAGCUGUUUCAGGUCUCAGAACCGAGCAGAUGUGAAUACCUUAUGGAAUUUAAAACACCCGCUGCUUGUAGGAAUGUCGGCGACUCCACCCUUCCACACGAACAUGGCGGAGAACUGUGAUUUAAUAUAGGAACCCUUAAAUCUGUACAGAAUUUCUACUGGAAACAAAAUCAAAUAGUUAUUGUAAUAAACUUUUCCGAUACGCUAAUGAUGAUGAUGAUGAUGAUUAGCGUAUGAGUUCUUUAAAGCAAAAUUAUAAAUUUAAACAGGCGAGCCAAGAGAUCCGCCCUGGUACCGAAUCAAAAUUCUUGGAACCAAUUCUACAAGCUUUUUUUAUGUUGACAUCGUGUGAUAUGCACUUGCACAAAUGACAAUGGUAGCCGUGUGAUCCAUAUCUAAUUGCUUUGUCACUGAUCUCUAGGAAGAUUGGUGACAGCAAUAAAUUGUUCACUAGCAAGGCCUUGGUGUCUCAUUGUACCAUCAAAUUUUCCGAAAUGUGAAUUGUCGAGUAUUUCAAGCUUAAUAUCUCAUUAGUUUUGUGUAAGCCGAUAAGACAGUUCUCAGAGAAGCCAGAUUUCAGCUACCAUACGAGUUCACCUUGCAAUGCAUUGUAAUUUUAAUAAAAUAAUUUUCAUUUUGCUUGAUGUUUUAUGAACUUAGUGAAGUGAACCCCCAUUAAUACAGUCACCAACCUGCCAUGAAAAUUUGGCCGUAGUAACGGGAUCGCCGUAUUAUCUUGGUAGGGUCAAAUUUCAUGACUGGUCUAAAUUGACGUCUUCACAGAUCUAUCACAAUUGUACUUCUAAAUACAACUGUUCACUAAUAAGCAUCCGGAGUGCAGAUAUAAUUUUAAGAAAAUUGAAACUUGUAUCAGUACAUAAAAUAUCAGCAAUAGGAAGAUGAACAUUAUUAGUUUGAGUAGCUGUAUAAACAGGGUAAAAUUAUAAAAGAUUAUACAGGUUGGGAUUUCAGAAUGUAGCCGUUGGCCGUAUUAACGGGGUGGCCGCAUUAGCGGGUUUUUCUUAUAAGAAAAUGUAUGGGCUUUUCGCCGGGACAGAAAAGUGGUUGUAAUAAGGAGGUGACUGUAAUUAUAAGGCAGGGUUCUACUGUACUCUGGAAAGGUGAGGAUCUCAAACCGUCUUUUGUGAUCAGAUGCCUCAGCGUGAACAAACUUUAAUCCAGAAACUCGUCGAAUUGCUGUCAACUUGCCACAUGUAUUAAAUUUCCGUGCAAAUUUCCGUUCAAGUGACCUCGUAAUGCCUCCUUUGAGGCCACUCGACUCUUUGUAAGGAAGAGUGUUGCGUGACUAGUCAAAUACUGCUACGAAGACCAGUGCAUGACCCAUGGAUGCAGGGCUUUGUGUGACCCAGAAAACAAGAUCCAGUCUUUUUUGUAUUUAGUCGUGAGUUCGGAUGGCCAGCGGUUGCUGCCCAAAUUUCAAUAUGGCGGCUGAAGUCGCGGACUUUUCUGAUCGCACAUUUGAGAGAGAAAUCGAUUGUCAUAACGGAAUUCUUAGGAUAAAGCAAGCUGAAUGCAUGUGUGUACUGUACUGACUUACCAGAAGUUGUACCUCU